rnacentral:rRNA from 1 species
AGUGAACGCUGGCGGUAGGCCUAACACAUGCAAGUCGAACGGCAGCACAGUAAGAGCUUGCUCUUACGGGUGGCGAGUGGCGGACGGGUGAGGAAUACAUCGGAAUCUACUUUUUCGUGGGGGAUAACGUAGGGAAACUUACGCUAAUACCGCAUACGACCUACGGGUGAAAGCAGGGGAUCUUCGGACCUUGCGCGAUUGAAUGAGCCGAUGUCGGAUUAGCUAGUUGGCGGGGUAAAGGCCCACCAAGGCGACGAUCCGUAGCUGGUCUGAGAGGAUGAUCAGCCACACUGGAACUGAGACACGGUCCAGACUCCUACGGGAGGCCACGGUGGGGAAUAUUGGGCAAUGGGCGCAAGCCUGAUCCAGCCAUACCGCGUGGGUGAAGAAGGCCUUCGGGUUGUAAAGCCCUUUUGUUGGGAAAGAAAAGCAGCAGGUUAAUACCCCGCUGUUCUGACGGUACCCAAAGAAUAAGCACCGGCUAACUUCGUG